rnacentral:lncRNA from 1 species
AAGUAAAUCAUAUGAUAAAAUUACACAAAACCUCCGCCGAGAAAAAAAAGGUUUUACCAAAACCUCCGACNGUAAUAUGUUCUCUAAAGUAAAUCAUAUGAUAAAAUUACAGAAUAUCUUAAAAUUUCAAUACUUAUUACAGUUUAAAAGAUAAAGUAAAAAAUAAAUAUAUAUAAUAAAAAAUAGAAAAAUUAAAGUAAUAAAAAAAGGUAAUUUAAAAAGAAAAGUGUUUCCGAAUACUGGUGAUUUCAGACUGGGCGGAGACGAAUUCCGGCGAGUCUAGGGUUUAAAAGUAAAUCAUAUGAUAAAAUUACACAAAACCUCCGCCGAGAAAAAAAAGGUUUUACCAAAACCUCCGACAUCGCCGCCGCUUCUUGUAGUCGUCUUCAUCAUCCUCCGUCGCCAUCUUCAACAUCACAAACUCCGAUAACUAAACCCUAACUUCAAUUCUGUUCGAUUCGAAUAGAUUGAUUGUUUGAUCCAUGGGGAAGAAAGGAGGAGCGAAAAAUCUCCCAAAACCGGAAUCAAAAUCUCACACUCCUAUUACACUGAGAGAAGAAGCCACUGGAAAAUUAAAAACGAAGCCAAUCGUUAACACAAAAAGAAAGGAGGAGCGAAAAAUCUCCCAAAACCGGAAUCAAAAUCUCACACUCCUAUUACACUGAGAGAAGAAGCCACUGGAAAAUUAAAAACGAAGCCAAUCGUUAACACAAAGUCACAUCUGAGAAUUGAUCAUUUGAAAAAACUUGCGGUGUGGACCACUACUAACCCUCACAUACCGUCUUUGAGUGCCUUCUAUGGUCAGCAUUUGGCCACCGUUUCAGAGUCUGCUGGUGUACCUCCUCAUCCUUCUCUACUCACUUGCCAAAGGUUUGCGUUUUC